rnacentral:lncRNA from 1 species
AAAAAGAGAAAAAAAGCCAAAUGACCAAAGUAAAACAUUUCAAUCCUACAUUUUCCUAGGUAUAUUAAAAGCCUCCCAAUAAAAACUAUGAAUGUGUGGCUUCACCUAGUUUUGACACAGGACCAGAAUUUUGAAACCGAAGGCAUUCAGGAAAGGACAUUGCAAAAUACGUCACUAGAAUACCUUGAACCGAGAACACUGGGAAACAAAGGACAGAAGCUGAGCCUGUAUCUAAAUUUCCUUCUCUGCUCAGAAGGGGAUAUUCUUAAAAGGACUCUGUUGGUUGCACCACCCUGGAAUCUCUUCACUGGGCCACAGGAUUGGUGCCCAGCCAAAGAAACCAGAAUGCCAGAGGGAGGUCAUUUCCUACUCCCCAAAACCAUCCUAACACUUGAAAACAAUCCAGGGCAUUUGGUUCUCACACAUGUGCAUUGGGAUCAUCCACAUGAGAGAGGAAGUCUUGACCCCAUGAAGAUAAAACUACUGCUGAAUUUCACCUCUGAAGGCCAGGGAUUUAGCUCAGUGUUUCCACUCUGCUUCACAAGCGCAAGGACCGAAGUUCGACCCCAGCCGAAGAAAAAAAAUUCACCUCUGAGCACUUUUGGAGAAAAAAACAAACAAAAUCCCAUAAGAAGGUCUGUUGCCAGGGUGACUCGGGGACUAAGCACAGGGACUCACUGCACAGCUGCCCUGAGCAAACUUGCUGCCAUCACCAGGAACAUCAGAACAGAGACCUGGCUGGGCCGCUGCGAAGGAGCCCUUAAGACAGGGGAAGCCCUGUAG